rnacentral:rRNA from 1 species
AGUGAACGCUGGCGGUAGGCCUAACACAUGCAAGUCGAACGGCAGCACAGUAAGAGCUUGCUCUUACGGGUGGCGAGUGGCGGACGGGUGAGGAAUACAUCGGAAUCUACUUUUUCGUGGGGGAUAACGUAGGGAAACUUACGCUAAUACCGCAUACGACCUACGGGUGAAAGCAGGGGAACUUCGGACCUUGCACGAUUGAAUGAGCCGAUGUCGGAUUAGCUAGUUGGCGGGGUAAAGGCCCACCAAGGCGACGAACCGUAGCUGGGCUGAGAGGAUGAGCAGCCACACUGGAACUGAGACACGGACCAGACUCCUACGGGAGGCAACGGUGGGGAAUAUUGGACAAUUGACGCAAGCCUGAGCCAGCCAUACCGCGUGGGUGAAGAAGACCUUCGGGUUGUAAAGCCCUUUUGUUGGGAAAGAAAAGCAGCAGGUUAAUACCCCGCUGUUCUGACGGUACCCAAAGAAUAAGCACCGGCUAACUUCGUG